AUUGAACGCUGGCGGCAGGCCUAACACAUGCAAGUCGAACGGUAGCACAGAGAGCUUGCUCUCGGGUGACGAGUGGCGGACGGGUGAGUAAUGUCUGGGAAACUGCCUGAUGGAGGGGGAUAACUACUGGAAACGGUAGCUAAUACCGCAUAACGUCGCAAGACCAAAGAGGGGGACCUUCGGGCCUCUUGCCAUCAGAUGUGCCCAGAUGGGAUUAGCUAGUAGGUGGGGUAACGGCUCACCUAGGCGACGAUCCCUAGCUGGUCUGAGAGGAUGACCAGACACACGGGAACUGGGACACGGGCCAGACUCCUACGGGAGGCAGCAGUGGGGAAUAUUGCACAAUGGGCGCAAGCCUGAUGCAGCCAUGCCGCGUGUAUGAAGAAGGCCUUCGGGUUGUAAAGUACUUUCAGCGGGGAGGAAGGUGUUGAGGUUAAUAACCUCAGCAAUUGACGUUACCCGCAGAAGAAGCACCGGCUAACUCCGUGCCAGCCGCCGCGGUAA
rnacentral:rRNA from 1 species